AGUUGUGCGGUUAUGCUGCAGA
rnacentral:misc_RNA from 1 species